rnacentral:tRNA from 1 species
UCAAGCUAUAGUUUAGUUAAAAUACUAGUUUUGGGUAUUAGAGAAGUAUGUUUAUUACUAGCUUGAG